rnacentral:rRNA from 1 species
AGUGAACGCUGGCGGUAGGCCUAACACAUGCAAGUCGAACGGCAGCACAGUAAGAGCUUGCUCUUACGGGUGGCGAGUGGCGGACGGGUGAGGAAUACAUCGGAAUCUACUUUUUCGUGGGGGAUAACGUAGGGAAACUUACGCUAAUACCGCAUACGACCUACGGGUGAAAGCAGGGGAUCUUCGGACCUUGCGCGAUUGAAUGAGCCGAUGUCGGAUUAGCUAGUUGGCGGGGUAAAGGCCCACCAAGGCGACGAUCCGUAGCUGGUCUGAGAGGAUGAUCAGCCACACUGGAACUGAGACACGGUCCAGACUCCUACGGGAGGCAGCAGUGGAGAAUAUUGGACAAUGGGCGCAAGCCUGAUCCAGCCAUACCACGUGGGUGAAGAAGGCCUUCGGGUUGUAAAGCCCUUUUGUUGGGAAAGAAAAGCAGCAGGUUAAUACCCCGCUGUUCUGACGGUACCCAAAGAAUAAGCACCGGCUAACUUCGUG